UACGUAGGGCGCGAGCGUUUGUCCGGAAUUAUUGGGCGUAAAGAGCUCGUAGGCGGCCUGUCGCGUCAAUUGUGAAAGCCCGGGGCUCAACCCCGGGUCUGCAGUCGAUACGGGCAGGCUAGAGUUCGGUAGGGGAGAUCGGAAUUCCUGGUGUAGCGGUGAAAUGCGCAGAUAUCAGGAGGAACACCGGUGGCGAAGGCGGAUCUCUGGGCCGACACUGACGCUGAGGAGCGAAAGCGUGGGGAGCGAACAGG
rnacentral:rRNA from 1 species